AGAGUUUGAUCCUGGCUCAGAGCGAACGCUGGCGGCGUGCUUAACACAUGCAAGUCGAGUGCGCGUCUGUAGCAAUACAGAUGGCGCACGGCGCACGGGUGCGUAACACGUGGGUAAUCUGCCCUUCGAUGGGGAAUAACCUCGCGAAAGCGAGGCUAAUUCCGCAUAACAUUCCGAUGAUCUUGGUCAAUGGAUUCAAAGCCGUAAGGCGUCGGAGGAGGAGCCCGCGCACGAUUAGCUAGUUGGUGAGGUAACGGCUCACCAAGGCUAUGAUCGUUAGCUGGUCUGAGAGGAUGGCCAGCCACACUGGAACUGAGACACGGUCCAGACUCCUACGGGAGGCAGCAGUGGGGAAUCUUGCACAAUGGGCGAAAGCCUGAUGCAGCGACGCCGCGUGGGGGAUGAAGCUUCUCGGAGUGUAAACCCCUUUCGACCCGGACGAAUGCCUCGCAAGAGGACUGACGGUACGGGUAUAAGAAGCCCCGGCUAACUACGUGCCAGCAGCCGCGGUAAGACGUAGGGGGCCAGCGUUGCUCGGAAUUACUGGGUGUAAAGGGUUCGUAGGCGGUGUGGCAAGUCGGGAGUGAAAUCUCUGGGCUCAACCCAGANGCUGCUUCCGAAACUGCCGUGCUUGGGUGUGGGAGAGGCGCGUGGAAUUGCAGGUGUAGCGGUGAAAUGCGU
rnacentral:rRNA from 1 species